UGAAACUGUUGAAAGACCAACUGUGAAAAACAAGCAGUUCCUGAUGCACGCGGGCCUCAGAGGCGGUGAGCGCUGACAUGCCGGCACCUGAGGGCCGGCGUUGCCUAAACGCUGUGGAAACCCCAGGGCCCCGGCCUGCGCUGCAAUGAGAGAGCCCCGCGGUGCUAUCGCUCCAUCACUCCCACAGGGCAGGAAGCCAGCGGAGGAGGAGGAGGAGGAGGAGGAGGAGGAGGGCUGUUUGACAGAGACUCCUUCCCGAUCGCCGCAGCGACGCAUCGUCGUUCCCGGUGACUGGCACCGCACGGACCCCGGCCGGGAAACAUGUGACAUGACUCGCACCGGAUGACCUCACGGGGUCACCACCCCCAAACCGCCGGGCCGCCGGGCCGCCGGGCCGCCGGGUGGGUCUCCUCCGCCGCCGUGUCACCGGCCAGGCGACGAUCGGGCGAGAGUGAUUGAUGAGGUCAUUUCUGCAGCGACUCACAGGAAGGAAGGAUCCUCAGAGAGAUUCAUCAGCGCGGACCUGCUCCUCACGGCACGGCGGGGCCUUUGAGGCAUUUUCUCCUGCUCCUUUUUCGGUUUGAACGGCUGGCGAAUGAGGAUGUGCCCUAACCCCCGCGGUGUCGUCGGGAACGGGGAGCCGGGCCGAAGAGAGUAGAGGAGAGGAGAGGGCGUUCCGCUGUUUCGCGGGGGUUAAUCCGCUACCUGAGAAGAAAAGAGCCAGUGUUCUUCAGGUGAGCCUCCUGGCUUCGGGGUCAGCCUCUCUACCUGAGCCCUUAAUGCCUGCCCCUUUCAUCCUGA